UACUAGAGUAGCACUCGCAUAUCAAUAAGCGGAGGAAAAGAAACUAACAAGGAUUCCCCUAGUAACGGCGAGUGAAGCGGGAAGAGCUCAAAUUUGAAAUCUUAAAGGGUUUCCCUUUACGAAUUGUAGUUUAAAGAAGUGUUUUCUGUUGAGGUUUUGGUAAAAGUUCUUUGGAAUAGGACAUCAUAGAGGGUGAGAAUCCCGUAUUUGACCUUUACUUUCAACUUUGUGAUACACUUUCAAAGAGUCGGAUUGUUUGGGAAUGCAGUCCAAAAUGGGUGGUAAAUUUCAUCCUAAAGCUAAAUAUUGGCGAGAGGCCGAUAGCGAACAAGUACCGUGAGGGAAAGAUGAAAAGAACUUUGAAAAGAGAGUUAAACAGUACGUGAAAUUGUCAAAAGGGAAGCGUUUGACACCAGUGUUGUUUUUCUGAAAAUCAAUUAAAGAACUGUUUAUGCUAAGCUGUUUAGACUUUAUCAGCUAAUCUGUUUAGUUUUGAGCUUUUCUUUAAUGCACUUUUCAGUUAACAAGUCAACAUCAAUUUCUUUUGCUGUAAAAAAGCUUGAGGAAGGUGGCUUGAGAUUCGUCUUAAGUGUUUAUAGCCUCUUGCCUAUGCAGUCGGAGAGAUUGAGGUCUGCAGCGUAGAUCCUUCGGGGCUAAAUGCAUUUGUGCUAAGUUAUAGCAUUUUAUAGACAACUUGUUGACUAUGAUUUGUCUUGUAGCUUACUCGCUUAUGUUAUUUUACCUACGCUUAGGAUGUUGAACUCUAUCACACACAG
rnacentral:rRNA from 1 species